GGGGUGAUGCUGGGCUUGGUGGGAUGCAGGAUGCAGUCAACACCUCCCCAACCCUGCUGCGGGGCUGGUGAUGGAGCAGGGGAUGGGUUUGGGGGUGCUGCUGCCCCAGUGAGGGGCACACGGGGAUGCCCAUUAUGGCCAGGCCGGGCUCUUUGGGUACCCAAUCCUCACCCCAUGCUCAGCCCCACAUCUCCCCGCAGCAAGGGCAGGAAGAAGCAGCUCCCUCCGGACGGGGUGAAGCUGGUGGAUGAGUCCCUGCUCAGACCGACGCCGCUGCGGUCGCUCAGCAAGUCCGACACGAAGCUGCACGAACUGCACCGGGUGAAGGCAGCGGAUGAGGGUGAGUACCCCGAGGGGGCGGCAGGGACCGGGUUAGGGUUAGGGUUAGGGUACGGCAGCAUCCCCCGGUCCCUGCUCCAUCCCCAUCUCCCUGCCCGCAGCCCAGCGCCCGGCCAGCCUGGACUUCAGCUGCCCCACACCCAGUGCCCCCCAGCACGGCACCAGUGUCCUCCUGCACCGGGAGCUGCCGCAGAUCCCGGUCCCAGAGCCCCCGGCCCCCGAACAGACAUACUCCAACCUCCGCUUCCCCCUCGCCGGCGCCCGGCCCCCGACACCGUCUACGAGUGCGUGGCCAUAGGGGGAGAAGAGGCCUCGGGGU
rnacentral:lncRNA from 14 species